rnacentral:lncRNA from 1 species
AAAUAAAGAAAAAAUAGUUUUAAAAUUAAGAAAAGUUACCUAAUUUGAUUAUAAUUAUUUGUUUGUUUCAUUUAUUUGUUACCUAAUUUCAUUAUUAUUAUUUGUUUGCAAUAUUUAUUUGUGACCUAAUUUCAUUAUUAUUAUUUGUUUGUAUUAUUUAUUUGUGACCUAAUAAUUUCAUUAGUAUUAUUUGUUUGUAUUAUUUAUUUGUUACCUAAUAAUUUCAUUAUUAUUCGUUUGUUUUUAUUUUGUUUGUAUUAUUUAUUUGUGACCUAAUAUUUCUUAUUAUUAUUUGUUUGUAUUAUUUAUUUGUUACCUAAUAAUUUCAUUAUUAUUAUUUGUUUGUAUUAUUUAUUUGUUACCUAAUAAUUUCAUUAUUAUUAUUUGUUUGU